AACAACUAAGGAUUUUAUUGUAGGAUGUAACAAUAUUUGUCACCUGAAAUUGCAUCGUUUGUAGAAGAAAAUACAACGAAAGAGGCGCAUCCACCGCUUCCAAUGACGGCACGCCACUGGUGACAUCUGUAGCCAAUUACGGUAAUUUCUAUUUAACAUCGAAUUUACAUUCGAUAGAACAAACAUUUAUAAACAGUUUAUGCGAAAUUUAUGGAAUAAGUGC